GACGAACGCUGGCGGCGUGCCUAAUACAUGCAAGUCGAGCGCUGAAGGUUGGUACUUGUACCGACUGGAUGAGCAGCGAACGGGUGAGUAACGCGUGGGGAACCUGCCUAUGAGCGGGGGACAACAUCGGGAAACGAAUGCUAAUACCGCAUAAAAUCUUUAAACACAAGGUUCAAGAUUGAAAGACGCAAUUGCAGCACCCAAAGAUUAUCCCGCGUCGUAUUAAGUAGGUGGUGAGGUAAAGGGCCACCAAGGCGAUGAUACAUAACCGACCUGAGAGGGUGGACGGCCACAUUGGGACUGGGACACGGCCCAAGCUCCCACGGGAGGCAACAGUAGGGGAUCUUCGGCAAUGGGCGGAAGUCUUACCGAGCAACGCCGCGUGAGUGAAGAAGGUUUUCGGAUCGUAAAACUCUGUUGGUAGAGAAGAACGUUGGUGGUAGUGGAAAGCUCAUCAAGUGACGGUAACUACUCAGAAAGGGACGGCUAACUACGUG
rnacentral:rRNA from 1 species